AAAGGCUGUGUUACUUUUGCCUUGCAAUAAUUGUUCUACAGGACCAAUUUCACAUGGGGGAAUCACAUCUUCAGGCAUGGAUAAUGGAACUAUUUCAGGGGUACACACUGCAAUCCAAUCACCUAUUAGUCCCUUCAUGGAAAGAGUUCCAUCAUGGGAUCUCAUCUAGCAUUCCUAACAGUUUACCCUCUCUGGUGAGAGUUGAAUUACUUGGCAAUCAAUCCGGCCUCCCUGAGCCUCCCCUUUCACCAGGCCAGCCAAAAAUUGAAUUCCAGGGAACACCCAAUUUUCAUCCUUAUUCACUUCCAGAGUAUCAGGAUGGUUUAAUUAAUGGUGCUCCUUGUAAUUCCCCGGGCAUGGAUGCAAAUUUUCUGUCUUUUUAGUGGCUAGUCAAGCCAUGCCGUACUAGUAAUGUUAAGUUCUUUUGGUGAAAUACUGUGUACAAGAAAGUGAAGAGAAAAAGAUUUGUACAGUGAUUCAUGUAACAAGUGGGUUGUGCGUACUGUUUGAUUUUCUAAUAUUCUAAUUAUGUGUUUCUCAGUUUUUGGUUCCUCUAGAAAUGGGAGCUGUUCACCUGGACAUCAUUAUAUUUGGAGUAAUUCAAAUAAUCCCCCUCAGCCUCAAGGCAUGAUUUGGCCCAAUGGGGUUUGCACUACUCAACCCCCUCCACGGUUGCAUGCAUUUCCCAGUGCACCGUCUCAUAUGAUGAACACACUUUUACCCAUGAAUAACCACCAUGUGGGAUCAGCACCGUCUGUGAAUCCUUCUCUCUGGGAAAGACGACACACCUAUUAUGGGGAAUCCCCCAAUGUUUCUUGCUUUCAUCAUGGUUCUCUUGGGAAUAUGAGAAUUUCGGAUCCAUUCCUACAUCCCGAUAAAGUAUGCUGGUCAAAGAAGUUGCCUUCAUUCCAAGUUGGUGUAUAAACAAUACUGUUCUUGAUGUAGUUGUUCUCAACUCUGUCAAACUUCCUUUCAUUUUUUUUUCUUUAUUUCUUCUUCCUAUGUCAUAUGACCUUGGUCUUCAAGUUGAGAACAUAAAAAUCAUUUGUAGUGUUUGAUUGAUCUUUUUUAGCAAGCAUGUCUCUUCAGUUGUUGAUGAAGAUUGAAACUCAAUCUGAACCAUUUCCAAUUGAUUAUAUUGAUUCAUUUAAUUUUUUAAUUAUUUUUUACUCCCAAUCAUCUGCUUACUUAUAUGUGUAUAUUUUGUUUUUGUGGAUGAUCACAGAUGCGGACAUUCUUUUUGUUACAACUGUGGAUCUCCUCUAAUAGCCCACUACUGUAGUAAAUGUAAACAUUAAGCCCUCACAGAUACCAGCAUUUUUGCUCUUCUACAGCAAGUUAAAAUGUAGAAAAGUAGUGCAUGAUAUGGUGUGCAGAGAAUGGAAAUAUUAUUAUUUAGGUGUACAUGUGGAGUCAUUGGAAAACAAAUCAGGAUGUGAAAGUAUAUUUCAAAUUGAAGAGUUGUCUUGAAUUGUUUCAACUUUCAAUUGAAAUGUGAAUGGAAACAUAUUAUAUAGUUGAAUUUUGUUUGUGUGUAAAAUAUUGCAAUCUAUGCAAAAGUUUUUAUUUAUUUAUCUCUCUCUCUCUCUCUCUCUCUCUAACCUCAGUUCUUACUCAGCCUAUCUAUCAAUGCAACUUCUCAUUUUAGUCCAAACCAUGCUCGGUUUCGUAUUCAUUCUAAAAUUCAAACUGUUUAUUUCUUCAUUGUCCCAAUAAUAUGUCUGUGUUUUGAACCAAUAUAAUUUCUCAAAGUGCUUCAAGAUUGUAACGAAGCUGCCCAUCAUCAUCUGAUUAUGGCCCUGUUUGGACAUAGUGAUGGAAGCAGCCUUCUUAACAGAUGUUAAAAAAGGCUUUUAUGAACUUGAGAAUGACAAAGAAUGAAAGGAUGAUUCAGGUAUAUAUCAUCAUUUUGCUAAAGAGGAUUGGAUGACUGGAAGAUGAAGUUAUUUUCAGAGUUUGGAGAGCACACCCCAUUUUUUUAUUUAUUAAAAUGUAAAAACAUUAGUAAUUUUUAUUUAUGUUUUUUGGUAUUGAGUUAACAUAGUGUUUUAUUUAUUUAUUUAUUUUUUUAAGUUAUGGAAAAUUGAAAAAUGGAUGUUGCCUCAUUAUGGUAUAUAUUUUGAAGAUGGU